rfam:Trichobilharzia regenti genome assembly, scaffold: TRE_scaffold0071539
AUCCAGUUGAGGAGUCCAAAAUAGGACGAAAUUCGCACCCUGGAU